rnacentral:tRNA from 1 species
CGGGGAUUAGCUCAGUUGGUAGAGCGCUUCGUUCGGGACGGAGAGGUCCGCGGUUCGAGUCCGCGAUCCCCGA